AGAUUAGCUUGCUUUAGUUGUCAGCUAAGUGGCGCACGGGUGAGUAAUGUAUAGGUAAUAUGCCUCUUACUAAGGGAUAACAAUUGGAAACGAUUGCUAAUACCUUAUAUGCCUUUAAGACUUAAGUCUGCAAGGGAAAGAUUUAUUGGUAAGAGAUUAGCCUGUAUUGUAUCAGUUAGUUGGUGGGGUAAUGGCCUACCAAGACAAUGACGCAUAACUGGUUUGAGAGGAUGAUCAGUCACACUGGAACUGAGACACGGUCCAGACUCCUACGGGAGGCAGCAGUGGGGAAUAUUGCACAAUGGGGGAAACCCUGAUGCAGCAACGCCGCGUGGAGGAUGACACAUUUCGGUGCGUAAACUCCUUUUAUAUAGGAAGAUAAUGACGGUACUAUAUGAAUAAGCACCGGCUAACUCCGUGCCAGCAGCCGCGGUAAUACGGAGGGUGCAAGCGUUACUCGGAAUCACUGGGCGUAAAGAGCGUGUAGGCGGGUAUAUAAGUCAGAAGUGAAAUCCAAUAGCUCAACUAUUGAACUGCUUUUGAAACUGUAUACCUAGAAUGUGGGAGAGGUAGAUGGAAUUUCUGGUGUAGGGGUAA
rnacentral:rRNA from 1 species